AAAGAAAGGGUCAGAUUUUGAAAUUGCUUUUCAUUUGCGAAAUACACCAAUCUCCGCACCAUUUGAACGAGAGAGAAGCUCCCGAACCAACCACCACUGCAAAGUCAAAGUCGUGCGAACCAGCCACCACUGUCGCCGGAGAGCCACCAUCCAUCCGAAGAGUUGUCUUCCCUCCACCCAGCCACCCAGUCUCGCCGUAGUGUCGUCUCAUUGCCGGCGUAAAAAAGGGAAACCCUAGACGCCGGAGGUCCGCCGUCGUGUUCUCUCCCCCCAACCCACCAUGCCGUCACCGUUCGAAGACAAAAUCUUCACGUUGCCUUCAGUCUUCCCAACCACCAAGUACCGUCGGAGUGUCGCCGGAGCUCUGCCGCAGUGCCGCCGGAGUACCUUGAUAAAAAGGUAUUUUCUUCUUUUUAACUACGAUUUGCUUGAGUUUCUCCUUUCAUUGAUUGUGUUUUCAAGCACUGUAGUUGUUGUUGUUGUAUGGUUAGAAGCAAAGCUUACUCUGUUGCCAUAAAAAUAGCUUUUGUAUCGUUUAUCAAUGAACUGAUUGGAUCUGUUUAAGAGGGUGCAUGUAUCGUUUAAUAGUUUUUGUAUCAUUUUUGGCGUGCCAGCCCCCAUUUUUCGC
rnacentral:lncRNA from 1 species